CAUGAGUAAAGUCAUGUUUCCUUCGGGACACUGGAGACAGGUGGUGCAUGGUUGUCGUCAGCUCGUGUCGUGAGAUGUUGGGUUAAGUCCCGCAACGAGCGCAACCCUUAAGCUUAGUUGCCAGCAUUAAGUUGGGCACUCUAAGUUGACUGCCGGUGACAAACCGGAGGAAGGUGGGGAUGACGUCAAAUCAUCAUGCCCCUUAUGAUUUGGGCUACACACGUGCUACAAUGGACAAUACAAAGGGCAGCUAAACCGCGAGGUCAUGCAAAUCCCAUAAAGUUGUUCUCAGUUCGGAUUGUAGUCUGCAACUCGACUACAUGAAGCUGGAAUCGCUAGUAAUCGUAGAUCAGCAUGCUACGGUGAAUACGUUCCCGGGUCUUGUACACACCGCCCGUCACACCACGAGAGUCUGUAACACCCGAAGCCGGUGGAGUAACCAUUUAUGGAGCUAGCCGUCGAAGGUGGGACAAAUGAUUGGGGUGAAGUCGUAACAAGGUAGCCGUAUCGGAA
rnacentral:rRNA from 1 species